rnacentral:rRNA from 1 species
GACGAACGCUGGCGGCGCGCUUAACACAUGCAAGUCGAACGGAAAGGCCUGCUUUCCCUUGUGGAUUGCGGGUACUCGAGUGGCGAACGGGUGAGUAACACGUGAGUGAUCUGCCCCCAACUUGGGUAUAAGCCUGGGAAACUGGGUCUAAUUCCCGAUAGGACUGCAGGGUGGUGCCUGUGGUGGAAAACGAUUUUCUAGUGGUUGGGGAUGAGCUCGCGGCCUAUCAGCUUGUUGGUGGGGUAAUGGCCUACCAAGGCGGCGACGGGUAGCCGGCCUGGGAGGGUGGACGGACACAUUGGGACUGAGAUACGGCCCAGACUCCUACGGGAGGCAGCAGGGGGGAAUAUUGCACACUGGGCGGAAGCCUGAUGCAGCGACGCCGCGUGGGGGAUGACGGCCUUCGGGUUGUAAACUCCUUUCGACCGCGAGGAAGCCGCCUGGUUGGAAGGGUGGUGACGGUAGUGGUAGAAGAAGCACCGGCUAACUACGUG